rnacentral:lncRNA from 10 species
GGUGACUCCAACGGUUGGCUGAGGACGAUUCCCUGAGCCUUGACAAAGCAGGAGCCCUCCGUGGCGGUGCGUCGGUGUCGAGGCUCCAGUCUGACUAAUCCAGGGGGUCGACAAAACAGAUUCGGGACACUAUGCUACACGGAGGGCCUACCAGGAUGCAGAAACAGCAGACGGAGUCCAGGGAAAGCAGUGCGGCAUCCCAGCCUCAGGCCUGCCCGUACGGUGUUCGGACGGAAUGAAGUUGAUAAUAGUGAGACCUUGUUGGUACAAGACUAUGUAACAUAACCUGCGCUUCUCAACAAAGAAUUGCUUUUCUGACUUCUGCACUCAAUAGCAAGACAAAUCUCUCCUCUGCCUUCUCCUUAUCAGACUACUCAACAUGAAGGCAAUAAGAAUGAAGACCUCUAUGUAUAAUAAUUGACUUCCACUUAAUAAAUAAGGUUACUUGGUACACUGGUCGACAAAACCUUGAAAUGUUGAUGUUUAAGGGCUGUUGAUUGCUGGCAGCAAAGAAGUCCAACUGUGCUGGUACCCGAGAUAGCGUCUCCACAUUUUCUUCCAGGAUCAUCACCUUUGUUCUAAAUAGCUCCCACAUAGUGUGAACAGAAGUCAUAUGUUUUAGAUUUUCUGCCUUGGCACCCAGG